rnacentral:tRNA from 1 species
GGCGGGUUGCCCGAGCGGCCAAUGGGAGCGGACUGUAAAUCCGUCGCGAAAGCCUUCGAAGGUUCGAAUCCUUCACCCGCCAC